rnacentral:rRNA from 1 species
GACGAACGCUGGCGGCGUGCCUAAUACAUGCAAGUUGAGCGCUGAAGGUUGGUACUUGUACCAACUGGAUGAGCAGCGAACGGGUGAGUAACGCGUGGGGAAUCUGCCUUUGAGCGGGGGACAACAUUUGGAAACGAAUGCUAAUACCGCAUAAAAACUUUAAACACAAGUUUUAAGUUUGAAAGAUGCAAUUGCAUCACUCAAAGAUGAUCCCGCGUUGUAUUAGCUAGUUGGUGAGGUAAAGGCUCACCAAGGCGAUGAUACAUAGCCGACCUGAGAGGGGGAGCGGCCACAUUGGGACUGAGACACGGCCCAAACUCCUACGGGAGGCAGCAGUAGGGAAUCUUCGGCAAUGGACGAAAGUCUGACCGAGCAACGCCGCGUGAGUGAAGAAGGUUUUCGGAUCGUAAAACUCUGUUGGUAGAGAAGAACGUUGGUGAGAGUGGAAAGCUCAUCAAGUGACGGUAACUACCCAGAAAGGGACGGCUAACUACGUG